rnacentral:tRNA from 3 species
GCGGAAGUAGUUCAGUGGUAGAACAUCACCUUGCCAUGGUGGGGGUCGCGGGUUCGAAUCCCGUCUUCCGCUCCG